rnacentral:rRNA from 1 species
GAUGAACGCUGGCGGUGUGCUUAAUGCAUGCAAGUCGAACGGUUUGAUUUAUCAGAUAGUGGCGAACGGCUGAGUAAAGCACAGGUGACCUACCCUUAAGUGGGGGAUAACCCAGAGAAAUCAGGGCUAAUACCGCAUGUGGUCGCAUUGAUAGUUCGGUGUGAUUAAAGCCUUCGGGCGCUUGAGGAGGGGCUUGUGUCCUAUCAGGUAGUUGGUAAGGUAACGGCUUACCAAGCCUAAGACGGGUAGCUGGUCUGAGAGGAUGGUCAGCCAGACAGGGAAUGAGAGACGGCCCUGACUCCUACGGGAGGCAGCAGCAAGGAAUAUUGCGCAAUGGGCGAAAGCCUGACGCAGCGACACCGCGUGAGGGAAGAAGGCUCUUGGGUCGUAAACCUCUUUUCUUGGUGAAGAGUAAGGACGGUAGCCAAGGAAUAAGUCUC